GACGUAGGUGGCGAACGUUAUCCGGAAUUAUUGGGCCUAAAGCAUCCGUAGCCGGUUCUACAAGUCUUCCGUUAAAUCCACCUGCUCAACAGAUGGGCUGCGGAAGAUACUAUGGAGCUAGGAGGCGGGAGAGGCAAGCGGUACUCGAUGGGUAGGGGUAAAAUCCGUUGACCCAUUGAAGACCACCAGUGGCGAAGGCGGCUUGCCAGAACGCGCUCGACGGUGAGGGAUGAAAGCUGGGGGAGCAAACCGG
rnacentral:rRNA from 1 species